rnacentral:tRNA from 1 species
GUGUGGGUAGUAUAAAUAUUAUAUUUAUCUUCCAAAUAAAAGAUCUAAUUUUAGUCCGCAUU